rfam:Trichobilharzia regenti genome assembly, scaffold: TRE_scaffold0019247
GUACUGCUGAAGAGUCCCAAACUAGGACGAAACACCUGUCCAGUAC